UACGGGGGGAGCAAGCGUUGUUCGGAUUUACUGGGCGUAAAGGGCGCGUAGGCGGCCACCGCAAGUCGACUGUGAAAUCUCCGGGCUUAACCCGGAAAGGUCAGCCGAUACUGCGGGGCUAGAGUGCAGAAGGGGCAACUGGAAUUCUCGGUGUAGCGGUGAAAUGCGUAGAGAUGCGGAGGAACACCGAUGGCGAAGGCAGCCCCCUGGGCUAGCACUGACGCCUCAGGCACGAAAGCGUGGGGAGCAAACAGG
rnacentral:rRNA from 1 species